AUUUGGCAUCUCCAAUUGGAUAUCAAAACUAAAUUCUUGAUUGAGCCCCUUGGCUACCAAAUUCCUUGUUCCACAGUCAUUCAGUAAAUGCAGUAAACAGCACCUCAAUCUUAUUGCUCACCCAGAAGACUCGGGGUUAUCUUUGACUUUGCCCUCUCUUACACACUACUUCCAGUUCUGCACAAAGCCUAUCAGUUCCAUCACUAAUAUAUGCCCUUGACUGCUGUGCAAGCCACCAGUAUCUCUUCCACGGAUGACUACCCUCUCCUCCUAGAAGAUAUAUCUCUGUUUCUACCCAGUGAUUCUUCUAACAUGUUAGUCCUCUAAUGCAAGCCUCCCAGCAGCUUCCUGGCUCAUUCACAGAGUUAUUUAAGUUCUUCCUGGGGUCCCUGAGGAUCUGCAUUCUCUAUCCUCCCACCCCACCUUGUCACAUCUCUAAGUCUCCUCUCACACAUUUUUCUCUUGUCUCUGGCCUUUUUGCUCCCUCUAGAACAUUCAAGAAUGUGCCCGCCUCAGAGUGAGGAUUAAAUGAUUAAUACAAAUAGAGAGCUUAGGGCUGCAUCUUAUUCAUAGUAUGUCUUAAUAUUUUAAGACUACUAUGUCUUUUUUUUUCUUCUCUGUAUAUUUUUACCACAUCAUGUACCAUCUUACUAUUUUAUAAACAGCAUUGAGGAAUGCUGCCACCUCAGGGCACCUUCUCUAAGUAUUCCCUCUGCCUAAAUAGUCUUUCCCUGGAAACCACAUGGUCUGCAGCUUCGCUGUCUUCAAAUCUCUGCUAAAAUCAUCUUAUUGAUACAUCCCUCUCUGAUUACACCGCAUAAAAUAGCACCUAUGACACAAAAUGGUGGUGAAAAUAUAAAGAAGCACAACAAAAAAAAAACAUAGGAGCUCCAAAUGGCUGUGAAACAUUAUUAAUUGAUACUAACUAUGAGUAAGAUGUGGAUUUAGCACUUUACAUGAAUUGAUUAUUUAAUCCUCAUAACAGUUCUAUGAUACAGUUAACAUUAGCAAUUCAGUUUUUUAGAUAAGAAAGUUAAUGUACAUAGAACUUACUAACCUGCAUAAGGCCACACAGCUGAAAACUGAUAAACCUAGGAUUUGAACCUAGGCAUUUUAAAUUGAUAGUCAAUGUGUUUAUUUACACUACGGCCUGUGUUUCAUGCUGAUAUUUUCAUUUUAGUGUACUUAGAGUCCAUCUUUCUCCUAUUUAGCAAUGUUUUGUAGGCACCCGCUAUGUGUUAUGCUUUAGUUCUGGGGAAAAAAUAUUGGUAAGAACUUAAUUUGGAGAGGUAGCCAGGGCUCAGAUCAUACACAGUUCUCCAGACACUGGUGAGAACCUUAGGUGUUUUUCUAAGUGUGAUGAGAAGUCAUUGGAUUGAUAUGAUCACAUUUGCAACACUCUGGUUGCUGAAUGAAAAGUAGAUUGCAGGGGGCAAUAGAGGAAGCUGGGAGGUCAGGGAAGAGGCUGUUGCUAGGUCCUAGUCCACAGGAACAAUGUUGGAUGGGGUAUGGAUGGUGUCUGUGAAGGAAUUGGUAAAAACUGGUCAGAGCCAGGGUAUAUUUUAGAGGAAGAACUAACAGCGUUUACUGAUGGAUUGAACAUACGUCUUCCAUAUGCUUUUAAAUCAUCCUGUCACAUUCUACAAUAUGAAUAUCCUAUUGUUUACACAGUCAUUCCUUCUAUUUAAGACAUACUUCACACUAACCACCACCAUUUUUUUCAAAUUACAAAUCAUACUAGGUUGUUUGUCCAUAUCCGUGAUUUUUUUAUGCAUCAGUGAUUGUUUCUAUAGGGUUAUGAAGUGAAAUUUCUGGGUCGUAGAGUACACAAAAGUUUAAUAUUAAUACCUACAGCCAAAUAAGUCUCUAAAUCAUGUAUAUCAAUCACCCUGUGCCAAUUGUUAUUUCUAUAGUCCACUCUUUCCAAUGUAUUGCCAAUGUGAUUUCAAUUUGACGUUGAAAAUAGGCCCUCUCUCUGUUUCCCUGUCUCUCUGCAGGUUAUGCUGGAACUCAACCUCACCUGUAUACGGGUGAACCAUAAGAUGGUCCUUGCUACAUCACUAGCCUUCCCUUAUCUAGCAAGAAAAACCUGCUCUUGAUAGUCUGCUGAAUAGUGACUGAGAUGACUGGCAGUAAAAUAGGAGACUUUUCAAGUGGAUGAAAGUUAAAUUCAAUAGGUGAUGCUGUGAACCCUCCCCAAGGGAGGUACCAAAAGCCUGCAUGAAGCAAAAACUGGAAACAAAUAAAGGAGAGUAUGGUGACUUUGCACUAAGUUACUCAUUUAUUCACAUAAUUAAUGAGUUUCUAUUAGUGUUAGGCACCGUUCUAGAUGAUGGUAUAAUUAGUUAACAAAAACCUCAAAACUCUCGCCCCCCAUGGAGCUUACAUUUCCAGGGAGGGAGAGAGAUGAUACAACAAUAAGAAAAUACAGAGCUAAUGUCAUUCUAUAUUGUAUAAUUAUGUAAAAUCAAGCCUGAGUAUUUGACAGCUUCUCAGAUACCACAGAUCUGUUGUUUAAUGAAAUCAGCCUAAAAGAUAAAAUUGUGUAUUUGCAUGUACACAUCACCUUGCCUGUAUUAUGAGUCAGCGUUUCUUCUUAUAAGAAACCACAGCUUGGUAAAAGGUAGAAGCUCAAUUUCCUAAUAAAGAGAUAUGUUUUACUAGGCAGGCUGUUGCACUGCAUAUUACUCUCUCUGACCUUGGCUUUAGUCCAAGGAGGAUUAAACCCAGAAAGAGAAGGGAGUAAAGCAAGGUGUAGCAGAAAAGCAAAACAAAACAAUACAAAAUAACCUCAAAGAAAUUAGUAACAAUAAUUAGUGCAUUCAGAGAUUAUAUCUUUCUUUCUUUUUUUCCUUUUUUUUUUUCUUUCGAGACGGAGUUUUGCUCUUGUUGCCCAGGCUGGAGUG
rnacentral:lncRNA from 1 species